CAGAAAGCAGGAGUCUGGUGCGUUGUGAUCUUGACUCUCGUAAACUUCUAGUGAAACUAAUUUAAUUGUUGUUGGAUUAACCAUUGCUAUUUAUUAAUGGCAUAUAAUUCAAUAAACAAUGAUGCAUAU